rnacentral:rRNA from 1 species
UUGACGGGGCCGCACAAGCGGAGGAACAUGUGGUUAAUUCGAUGAUACGCGAGGAACCUUACCUGGGCUUAAAUGUAGAGUGCAUUUUUAGAGAUAGAAAUUCCCUUCGGGGCUUUCUGCAAGGUGCUGCAUGGUUGUCGUCAGCUCGUGCCGUGAGGUGUCGGGUUAAGUCCCAUAACGAGCGCAACCCUUAUCGUUAGUUGCCAUCUGGUAAUGCAGGGGACUCUAGCGAAACUGCCACCGUAAGGUGAGAGGAAGGUGGGGAUGACGUCAAAUCAGCACGGCCCUUAUGUCCAGGGCUACACACGUGUUACAAUGGUCGGUACAGAGGGCAGCUACCUGGUGACAGGAUGCUAAUCUCGAAAACCGGUCUCAGUUCGGAUCGAAGUCUGCAACUCGACUUCGUGAAGCUGGAUUCGCUAGUAAUCGCGCAUCAGCUAUGGCGCGGUGAAUACGUUCCCGGGCCUU